GACGAACGCUGGCGGCGUGCCUAAUACAUGCAAGUUGAGCGCUAACGCUUUGUGCUUGUGCUCACUGGGUGGGCAGCUGACGGGUGGGUAACGCGUGGGUCAUCUUCCUUUGAUCCGGGGAGAACAUUUUGAAACGAAUUCUAAUACCGCAUAAAAACUUUUAACACUAGUUGUAAGUUUGAAAGGUGCAUUUGCCUCACUAAUAGAUGAUUCUGCGUUGUAUUAGAUAGUUGGUGAGGGAAAGGCACACGAAGGCGAUGAUACAUAGUCUACCUGAGAGGGAGAACGGGCAAAACGGGAACGAGAAACGGGCCCAAAUUCUACGGGAGGCAGGAGUAGGGAAUCAUUGGAAAAUGAGGAAAGGCUGACCGAGGAACGCCGCGUGAGGGAAGAAGGGUUUUGGAUUGGAAAACUCCGUUGGUAGAGAAGAAAGAGGGGGAGAGUGAAAAGCUCAUGAAGUGACGGUAACUAAACAGAAAGGGACGGCUAACUACGUG
rnacentral:rRNA from 1 species